rnacentral:rRNA from 1 species
GACCUCAAAUCASGUAGGACUACCCGCUGAACUUAAGCAUAUCAAUAAGCGGAGGAAAAGAAACUAACAAGGAUUCCCCUAGUAACUGCGAGUGAAGCGGGAAAAGCUCAAAUUUAAAAUCUGUCAGUCUUUGGCUGUCCGAGUYGUAAUCUAGAGAAGUKUUAUCCGCGCUGGRCCGUGUACAAGUCUCCUGGAAUGGAGCGUCAUAGAGGGUGAGAAUMCCGUCUUUGACACGGACUMCCAGGGCUUUGUGAUGCGCUCUCAAAGAGUCGAGUUGUUUGGGAAUGCAGCUCAAAAUGGGUGGUAAAUUCCAUGUAAAGCUAAAUAUUGGCGAGAGACCGAUAGCGAACAAGUACCGUGAGGGAAAGAUGAAAAGAACUUYGGAAAGAGAGUUAAACAGUACGUGAAAUUGCUGAAAGGGAAACGCUUGAAGUCAGUCGCGUUGUCCAGGGAUCAACCUUGCUUUYGCUUGGUGUACUUUCUGGUCGUCGGGUCAGCAUCAAUUUUGACUAUUGGAAAAAGAUUAGGGGAAUGUGGCAUCUUUGGAGU